rnacentral:ncRNA from 1 species
AGACACAGCCCAUACUCCAUCCUACGGGAGGUAGCAGCGGAGAAUUUUCCGCAAGGUAUUCGCCCAGUGAGGGACUCAUGUCUGAUUAGCUAGUGUCUCUCAGCCGGACUGAGACACGGCCCAAACUCCUAUGGGAGGCCGUAGUAGGUAAUUUUUCGCAAUGAGCGAAAGCAUGAUGGAGUACUGCCGCAUGGAGAUAGAAGGCCUACGGGUUUUGAACUUCUUUUCAUGGAGAAGAAGCAAUGACUGUAUCUGGGAAUAAGCAUCGGGUAAUUCUGUGCGAUGUUU